AACGAACGCUGGCGGCGUGCUUAACACAUGCAAGUCGAACGAGAAAAUCCUGGCUUGCCAGGAUGAGUAAAGUGGCGCACGGGUGAGUAACACGUGAGUAAUCUGCCCCUAAGUCAGGAAUAACAUUGCGAAAGCGAUGCUAAUACCUGGUAAGCCCACGACUUCUUCGGUAGAUGUGGGAAAAGGUGGCCUCUGACAUAAGCUAUCACUUAGGGAUGAGCUCGCGGACCAUUAGCUUGUUGGUAGGGGAAUGGCCUACCAAGGCGAUGAUGGUUAGCGGGCCUGAGAGGGUGGCCAGCCACACUGGAACUGAGACACGGUCCAGACUCCUACGGGAGGCAGCAGUGGGGAAUCUUGCGCAAUGGGGGAAACCCUGACGCAGCAACGCCGCGUGAGUGACGAAGGCCUUCGGGUCGUAAAGCUCUGUCAGAUGGAAAGAAUUAAUUCGCUGAAAAUAUUGGCGAGUGAUGACGGUACCAUCAGAGGAAGCACCGGCUAACUCCGUGCCAGCCGCCGCUGUAACAC
rnacentral:rRNA from 1 species